CUCUGUAUUGAUAUGCUUAUGUUCAGUUCAUUUUCCAGGAAAGGUGUGCUUCUUACUGGGAUUUGCAAAUGUUAGGGAGAAGUUAUAAAAUGACGAAAGGCGAAUUUCACUUCGGUAGCGACAUCAAUAGUUGGCGCAGCAAAACUUCCAUCUGUGACAAGAGAGAGGAGCUACCUAGCUUCUCCAAGGGAGCUGUGGCUCAUUGGGCAGCUGCACAAACGAAGAUUGAAUAAAGGGAAAUGAAGAUGACAUUUAAUGUCGACUAAAUUCCCGUUCACAAUCAUGGGAGUGGUAAACUGUGGAUUCAUCUGUUGAGACAGAAACGUGGAGAUUAGUGAGGGAAGUCAUUGCCUGUGGAUGAAAUUGUUAAAUCUGUUGAGCUUGAUGUGAAGUUUCAGUUGAAUGUUUUGCCCUUCUUUUCCAGAUAAUAGAAACCAUUAGGGCAGGGCAGAGGGACUCGUCGUGCAAUUUGGGGCAUCAUGUAAUGUUUUUGGGGGGUCAAAGGGCUAUUUAAGCAAAACUGAUUGUUGAUUAAUCUUUUUUGUCGGGCCAUAAGAAUGAACAUUGCACUUCAUCUGCACGUGUGCUCUCUUCAUUGAUA